rnacentral:rRNA from 1 species
UGGGGAAUUUUGGACAAUGGGGGCAACCCUGAUCCAGCAAUGCCGCGUGUGUGAAGAAGGCCUUCGGGUUGUAAAGCACUUUUGUCCGGAAAGAAAACGUCGUGGUUAAUACCCGUGGCGGCUGACGGUACCGGAAGAAUAAGCACCGGCUAACUACGUGCCAGCAGCCGCGGUAAUACGUAGGGUGCAAGCGUUAAUCGGAAUUACUGGGCGUAAAGCGUGCGCAGGCGGUCCGCUAAGACAGAUGUGAAAUCCCCGGGCUUAACCUGGGAACUGCAUUUGUGACUGGCGGGCUAGAGUAUGGCAGAGGGGGGUAGAAUUCCACGUGUAGCAGUGAAAUGCGUAGAGAUGUGGAGGAAUACCGAUGGCGAAGGCAGCCCCCUGGGCCAAUACUGACGCUCAUGCACGAAAGCGUGGGGGAGCAAACAGGAUUAGAUACCCUGGUAGUCCACGCCCUAAACGAUGUCAACUAGUUGUCGGGUCUUCAUUGACUUGGUAACGUGCUAACGCGUGAAGUUGACCGCCU